GAUCGUGGUCGGCCCUCUGAUGACCGUGCGCGCGCGCGCGAGGCAUUCAUGUGCUGGAGGCGACACAGUGCUGCGUUCAUGGACUGUUGUGAAUAACGUCAACGAACAAUUACGAACAACCGACAACGCGAUAAAUGCGGCUUGACAUUCAUUUGGCAGAGGGAGACCAUGUGUUGGUUUUCAGCCGACACCAAACAGGAGAGACUGGACUGGAUGGGGAAACUCAACCAGGCGCUGCUGGACUUUAACACGUGGAACCAAGCGGAGAGUGAGCAGUGGAGCUCGUCCAGCAGUGGGAGCCUGCCAGGUCGUCAGAAUAUAGGCAGCACUUGUGGUUUGGUGUUGAAUGUAAAUUAAGAUGCCUUUUAUAUGUAACUCUUUAAAGUGUCUCUGCUAUCCAAUAAAUCAAAAGUGAAAAGUA